GCCUGUGUAUCUCAGUCAGUAGAGCAUCAGACUUUUAAUCUGAGGGUCCAUGGUUCAAGUCUAUCCAGGUGCU
rnacentral:tRNA from 1 species